rnacentral:rRNA from 1 species
AUACGGAGGGUGCAAGCGUUAUCCGGAAUCAUUGGGUUUAAAGGGUCCGCAGGCGGACUAAUAAGUCAGUGGUGAAAUCCUCUCGCUUAACGAGAGAACUGCCAUUGAAACUGUUAGUCUUGAAUUCGGUCGAAGUAGGCGGAAUGUGUCAUGUAGCGGUGAAAUGCAUAGAUAUGACACAGAACACCGAUAGCGAAGGCAGCUUACUAGACCUGGAUUGACGCUCAUGGACGAAAGCGUGGGGAGCGAACAGGAUUAGAUACCCCAGUAGUCC